ACCAAGCGUUGGCAUGCACCUGUAGUCCCAGCUGCUCUGGAGGCUGAGGAAAGGAUUGUCGCUUGAGCCCAGGAGUUCUAAGCUCUAGUGCGCUAGGCUGAUCAGGUGUCUGCACUAAACUUUGGCAUCAUGUGGUGACCUCCUGGAGCAGGGAACCACCAGGUUGCCUAAGGAGUGGUGAACUGGCUCAGGUCAGAAAUGGAGCAGGUCAAACCUCCCGUGCCGAUCAGUAGUGGGACUGCACAUUACCAUACGGUGUGAAUAGCUGCUGCACUCCAGCCAGGACAACAUAGCAAGACUCCAUCUCU
rnacentral:SRP_RNA from 1 species